CUUCGUACCAAUACAGUAACAUGGUUUAGAUCAAGUUUAGAUUAACCGAUAAGUAGUCGCUCGAACCAAUGCAUUGGCACAAACUAUAUAAGAAGGAAAACAUAACAAAAUAAAAACACAAACUCUCUUGAUGCUGUAAUAUUACUGAAAAGCUUAAGCUUUUAAAGUUUUCGAAAAAAAAGACGGCAUAUAGAUUAAACUACAUCAAAAUUCUACACACAUACGAAACUUU